rnacentral:rRNA from 1 species
AACGAACGCUGACGGCAGGCUUAACACAUGCAAGUCGAACGCCCCGCAAGGGGAGUGGCAGACGGGUGAGUAACGCGUGGGAACGUACCCUUUACUACGGAAUAACUCAGGGAAACUUGUGCUAAUACCGUAUGUGCCCUUCGGGGGGAAGAUUUAUCGGUAAAGGAUCGGCCCGCGUUGGAUUAGCUAGUUGGUGAGGUAACGGCUCACCAAGGCGAUGACUAGGUAGCCGGCCUGAGACGGGUGAACGGCCACAAGGGGACUGAGACACGGCCCUC